CUUGGAACAUAAGUCUAUCAUUUUCUCAGUUGGCCAGCUUUCAGAAUAAUCGCCAUUCCUUGCUCCGACAACUCGUGUCUCAAUUUAUUGCCCUGUCUUGCCACAAGACUACAAGCUUGAACUCGGUGGCACCUAGAGUGGCUUCUCUUGUUCCAGACUCAAGAGCUCAGGCUCAGUAGCUGCAGCACAUGGGCUUACUUUUUCCUGAGGCAUGUGGAGUCUUCCUGAAGCAAGGACCGAACCCGUAUCUCCUACAUUUGCAGGCAGAUUCUUAACCACUGGAUCACCACGACAUUCCCUGUUGUUGUUUUAAGCCACUAAGUUUUGGGGCUGCUUGUUACAAAGCAACUGAUGACUGACAAGGCAGGCUCCAAGACCAUGGCUCCAGGCUGGGGGCAAGCCCAGGGGAACGGCAUAGACUCAGUGCCUGCUUCAGGGCUGAGCAUGGACACCCACCGAAGAGAUAAUAAAAGAGAUAACCUCCUGAUUCUUAAAGAGUUCCAGAGUCCCUUAACUCCCAGCCAAGAAAGUCAAGGGCCAGACACUCAUUCAUCUCCAUUCCACAAACCAACCAAUAUUCACUGAG